ensembl:misc_RNA
AAUAGUCAAACAAAUUAGCGAUGAGGCCACCAGGAGAGUAUAUUCAACCCCAAUUCAGAGAUGUCUCGGUUUAUCAGUUUUCUGUCAAUCAUUAAAACAAGAAAAAUGAAACAUGCAAUUAUAUAUAAGGAGACAGAACUCUGAAGUCUUUCAUCCUUGCUGAAGCAGAAGAGUUUUAAUUGCUUGGAAAAAAAAGAUUUUUGUUUU